rnacentral:rRNA from 1 species
GUAGGUGGCAAGCGUUGUCCGGGAAUUAUUGGGCGUAAAGCGCGCGCAGGCGGUUCUUUAAGUCUGAUGUGAAAGCCCACGGGCUCAACCGUGGAGGGUCAUUGGAAACUGGAGAACUUGAGUACAGAAGAGGAAAGCGGAAUUCCACGUGUAGCGGUGAAAUGCGUAGAGAUGUGGAGGAACACCAGUGGCGAAGGCGGCUUUCUGGUCUGUAACUGACGCUGAGGCGCGAAAGCGUGGGGAGCAAACAGGAUUAGAUACCCUGGUAGUCCACGCCGUAAACGAUGAGUGCUAAGUGUUAGGGGGGUUUCCGCCCCUUAGUGCUGCAGCUAACGCAUUAAGCACUCCGCCUGGGGAGUACGGCCGCAAAGGCUG